rnacentral:lncRNA from 1 species
AUCAAACACUUGCUUUGCAUAUCCAAAAUUCUCCACAUUUUCCAUACGCACAUAUUACUAGAUACAAAUGAAAACAUGAAAAUUAGGUUAACUGUAAUGAAAUUGUAUAUGAAAAUUAGGAAUCUUGAAGAAAUACAAUGUUGACCACAUUCCCACAGGACCAAAAAAAUGAUGAAAUUGUAUGUGAGACAACCAUAUAACCAUGCUAGGAGCCAAUCAGAUGGGCUGGCAACAUUCAUCUACUCAGCCAUGGCUAAACCAUGAAGAAGGCAAAAUAUGUAACCUCUCAGGCAUUUCAUCAAACAGUUGGCCUGCAUCUCUAAAUUGGACGCCUAUCCAUAUGACCUUGCAGAGGAAUCAUGGAGAGAGUAACCUCUUAGGCAGCCUCCACCGGAGCAAAAAAAGAUGAGAUUGUCUGUCAGACAACCAUGUAGCCAUGCCAGGACCAUUAGAUGGUUUGGCAUCGAUCAUCUACUGAGCCAUGGCCGAGACCAUGAAGUUUUGUUAAUCACGCUCUGGUUACAUGGUCGUGGUUCAUCAACCAGACAUGGGUUUCUGUCUUCUUAGGAAUCAAGAAUACAGAGGUACGAGCCUAUAGAACAGAUCCUGUUCAAGUAAGGUCGUGCUUCUUCUUCUCUCUCGAUUCCUUAUAUAGCUGCUCUGAUUUUUAAUCUGCAACAAUGUGGGAGGAAGUCAUGAAACAAAUCGGAUCUGAGCGGCUAAGCCCACGUACGCCUCUUUCCUCUUGGGUUUAUUAACACUAAUUUCUUCAAUAUAUUUCAUAUUUGUUUAUUGUAUCAAAAGAGGUUAGAAAAAUGGAAAAUGCAAUAUCUUUCAAUCUAAUAAAAGAAUCUUUUCAUUCUACGUGUCUUCUCCUUCACUCAUUUCACACUAAAAUUAAAUUACCAAAUUACCCAUUACUACUCUGUUGACCCUUAAAUAUUUUGUCGAUCCCUUAAACUCUAAUCUUCUUUUUCAUCUGUAUCAAUGGUUGCUUUGUAGGAACCUUCGAUUCGUCGCCUGCUCCGCCACCGGGCAUUCUCGAAUCUAAUGAAGACGGGUUUAAUAGUAAUGAAAACUUAUAGCAGGGCUUCUGGAAUUUUAUAAUGUUCGAUGGUUUUGAUUUUGCUAAAAGGUUCGUAACAUUUUUCUCUCAGUAUACUACAUAUUUAAUUGUAUGAUUCCAUAAAAUUCAUCUCCGUCUAUGGAUUUUGUGAUUUUGAUAGUCCAAUCGUGUCCCCCCCUUUUUUUUAAUCCACGUGAUUUGAUAAUUGAAUUUGCUUUCUUUUGUUGACGAAAUUUCCAGUUGUAGUUUUAUCAUCAUGUUGAAUUAUUGAUCAGUUGAUAUAUAUGAUUGAUAACUUAGGGCUUAAACUGGGUACAUACACAUGGCUUGAUGAUUUAAUGGUAUAAGGUAAAGCGUUGGUGGAUUACUUUAGGGAUUCGCUAUUCCGCCGUUUUUCUUUUUUGUAUUAUAACCUUUUUGAAGUAUUAAUGUUGUUUAUUAUGGGAUAACUUUUAUAAGUGCAUUUUCUAAGAAGUAGUGCAUACGAUUGUUUUUUAAAAUUAAAUUACUUGUGAGAACUACUUUUGUGCUUUCUUUCUGUAACAUCCGGAUUCUCAUGUAUCUUAUUUUAAUUAUUUAUUUUGAGUUUUAUGGAGGGACUCGGCGAGUAGACGCUCAGACUUGCCGAGUAGGAUUACGAAUUCUUGUCUGGAUUAAUGACCAGACUCGACGAGUCGAUGAGUGGACUCGGCGAGUCUGCGCUGUAAAGUGAAACCCUAAAUCUUAGGGCUUGAGCCCUAUUUAAAGGCCCUUAUGGCCGUCAUUUGCGGCCACUACUCCCCUGUGAAAACCCUAGAGAGCAUAUAGAGCAAUUUGGAGGCUAAUUCUUCAUCCUUUGGUGGGAUCUUGCAAGAAGGAGUGGGAAAAUCCAAGCUAGAUCGAAUGUGGAGCUUGGAUCUGUGGUGUUCACACUGAGAUUCACGUUUUGAGGUACAAGUUCCUUCCCAUUCCGUGUAUUUGAUAGAUUCCUUGAAUCUAGGGUUUCCUUUGCACAAUUUUGAGUUAGAUUGUGAAGCAUAUGAGGUCCCUUUGGGCAUAGAUGAUAGAUCUGGACCUUAGGAGGUCCAAAAGGUCCCAAGCUUCCAGCUUUAUGAGGUUUCAUGUUAGGCUUGAGAGUAGAACCCCAUUUUAAAGGUUAUUUCUCCAUUUUUGGUCUUAUAAGCAAUGCAUGAACAUAAAGUUUGAACUUUUACGUGACUUUCGAGUGUUACAAGGUUAGAUCUACUGGUUGGUGAAGCAAAUCUGACCUCAAAAGAUCGUUUGAGUGUUUUCAUGGGAGGAACUCGCCGAGUCCAAAAGGGACUCGACGUGUCGAGUCGGGUCGCCCCGCGAUUCACGACAUGUGAUAACCCGUUGAGUGUAGGGUUGAAUCAGCGAGUCAAGUGAGGACCAGGGGCGAAGAGGACAUGCAUGGACUCGCCGAGUCACACGAGUGCACUCGACGAGUCUGGUCAAAGUUUGACCGUUGACUUUUGUUGACUUUUAGGGUUUGGUCAACAAUUGGACUUGUGGACCAUUUGAAGGUGUCUUUUGAUCUUUUGGGGUUUUUAAAAGGUAAAAAGCUAAAAGGUCCUUCAAACACAUUUUAAAAGCAUCUUUUUGCAAAAGAUGCAAGUCAAUAAGGUCUUUUAUGAAAAUGACUUUUGAAGAAAAAAAGUUUAGCCAAACACACAGUUAAUAGUCGAUUUGACAUAUUUGGGGUUGCAACAAUGGAUCUCUUGUGAAUUCCAGCAUUUAUUGUAGACUUUAAUGAAUAUGAAUAGUUUUUGUUGAAUGUUAAAAUCUCAGUUUAACCAUCAUAAAACAUUCAUUAUGUCAAAUAAUUUUUUUUUAAAAAAAAAUUACCAUCUUUCCUUGAUAUUGCUAUAUUGCAACCUCUCGUGUACUUGUAUAUGUUUUUUAAUUAGUGCUUUUUAUGUAUUUGUCAUCCUUUUGCAGCUUCCCAAACAACUCCAAUAUUCACAUUCUUGAGAAUCCAAAGGUCUAAACAAUCAUAAAUAUCAGCAACAUACAGAGCAUCCUUUCUAAGAAAAAAGGUUUUAGACAACAAGACAGUAGAAGAAAUUAAUUUCUUUUCAGACAUUUCAUCAAACACUUGCUUUGCAUAUCCAAAAUUCUCCACAUUUUCCAUUCGCACAUAUUACCAGAUACAAAUGAAAACAUGGAAAAUUAUGUUAACUAUAAUGAGGAAUCUUGAAGAAAUACAAUGUUGACCACAUUCCCACAGGACCAAAAAAAUGAUGAAAUUGUAUGUGAGACAACCAUAUAACCAUGCUAGGAGCCAAUCAGAUGGGCUGGCAACAUUUAUCUACUGAGCCAUGGCUAAACCAUGAAGAAGGCAAAAUAUGUAACCUCUCAGGCAUUUCAUCAAACAGUUGGCCUGCAUCUGUAAAUUGGACGCCUAUCCAUAUGACCUUGCAGAGGAAUCAUGGAGAGAGUAACCUCUUAGGCAGCCUCCACCGGAGCAAAAAAAGAUGAGAUUGUCUGUCAGACAACCA